UUUUGUUUUCUGAGUAAUGUUGUCUAUUUAAUGAAACCAGGACAGUCACUUAUAGAACAUCCCAUGUGUCUCUUUCCUCGUGGUUCUGUGUCACUUGUCCCUCCAUCUGUAAACUGGGGGAGACUGUGCAUCUCACACGGCAUCGUGCCAGGCCUGCCAUGAGCCAGGGUCACACUGGACACUCCCAGGCCCCUGCACUGUGGAAGUGGAACUUCGCCUUGGUUUUAGGACUUGUUGAUGAACCCACCGUGAACUGAUUAUUUCGCUGGGGGCAGAAUUGGUUGCUCUCUAAUUGUAUUGCUCCCUCUAUAUUAAUUAGCUGGGUGCUUUACUGUGAAGAAGAAUUUCCCUCAUCAGCAGGUAUGACCUGUGUUUUUCCACGAAAGGAGGGUGAAUGUCUCUUUCUUUUUAAUUAUUAACCCCCAUGGUAACAAGUUGUUGUGAUGGUUACGUCCACUGGUGGCUUUAAAUGGGCCUUCCCUCCCUCAUUAGCUUAACAUGGAUGACAUGGAUAUUUAUUUAUUCAGUAUUUGAUCAAUUUCAAACGUCAUUCUUCUGGAAAGUGAAGAGACAUUUCUUGGAUUCCUGCUCCUGGAGCUGGUCAAGAUUUCGCUUCAAUAACAUCAAGGAGAAGACAGGACUCAGUGGAAAAGGUGGGAAGAUUUUUGUAAAACAGUGUCCUUAUGGCAGUGUUGGCUAAGAAGAGGAAAAUGCAGACAUGCACUGGGAAGAAAAAUCUAAAAUAAGUCAUCAAACAUCUAAACAAUUUCCAGCUGUACACUUUAAGAAAAUAAACAACAGGAAGCCAUCCUCUGCUUACCCUUCGUGGGUGGGCAGGGAGGCUCGAUCAACAGAGAACCAGGCAGAUGCCCGUCACUCAUGAGCGCACAGCUACCUCAUCAAGCAGGACUGAAACUAACAAGAGUGACUAAGCUGGACCCCAGCCGUCUCCUCUCCAAGACUGGACACUUCCUGGGUCACUCAGAUCACGUCAGAAGACAGAGGACUUUCAUUACCUGGUGAUUCUGCCCAGCAUCCCUCACAGAGGUCCCUUCCUCCAGCUGGGCCCAGGGAGUCCCGUCUGCAUCACUGCUCACUUCCUCUCCAGGGCAGGGAAUGUCUUACCUGUGUGUCAUCCACAAAAAAGAGGCCUUGGCCACCACCUAUUCCUUCAAAGGUAUCACCCACUCGGGAAUGGGGGAGCCACAGCCAGACCGAGAACCCCUGCCUGCCCUCCCCAAAUAGAACCGGCCUUCUGGGCCCUCACGGACUCACACUGCUGCACUCUCUGCCUCGCUCUGGGACCGAAACUUUCAGAACACGUCUCUGUGAGGAACCACACACACGCUGGUGGGUUCCCAUCGGCAGAGACGCAGGGUGAGUGGGGACACAGCCUCACGCACGGCGGUGCCGCCCACACUCAUCGGUCUGGCCUCCCCCAUCAGGGCAGUUACGCCCGAAAUCGUCACACUCUUAACACGCAACUCGUACGGAGGUCUCACCACCCACUGGAGACCAUGGAGCGAGAGAGCCAAGUCUGGAGAAAUGGAAAUGGAAACCACAUCUCUCACAAGCAGCACUUGGAGAAGAAAGCUCGCGGUCAGGAAAAUGGGUGCAAGCCGUGAUGAAGGUGAUGAGGGCCGCACCGCACAGCCGUGUUACACCCAGGGCCCAGAGCGCGACAGUCACAGCUGCCAGGGAGACCUUUCUGCACCUGAAUGUUUGAACACAAUUCCAGUCUACAAUUUAACCACAAGGCCUCUUAAUUAUAUUUUUAAUUGAAAACAGUUUUUUCCCCAAAUAACCGAUGGAUGUUUAACAUUAUCACUCUAACACCUCAAUUGCCAAGUAAGUUGUAAGUAUAAAAACACAUUACAUGUGCAAAAAACCCCCCAAUCCCAAAGAAAAAGACUAAGUAAAGCUAACACCACGGCCUUGCAUGUAUGUGUGUGUGUGCGCGGG